rnacentral:rRNA from 1 species
CCUACGGGUGGCAGCAGUGGGGGAUAUUGCACAAUGGGGGAAACCCUGAUGCAGCAACGCCGCGUGAGUGAAGAAGUAUUUCGGUAUGUAAAGCUCUAUCAGCAGGGAAGAGAAUGACGGUACCUGACUAAGAAGCCCCGGCUAACUACGUGCCAGCAGCCGCGGUAAUACGUAGGGGGCGAGCGUUAUCCGGAUUUACUGGGUGUAAAGGGAGCGUAGACGGCUGGUCAAGUCUGAAGUGAAAGCCCGGGGCUUAACCCCGGAACGGCUUUGGAAACUGAGCAGCUAGAGUGCUGGAGAGGUAAGCGGAAUUCCUAGUGUAGCGGUGAAAUGCGUAGAUAUUAGGAGGAACACCAGUGGCGAAGGCGGCUUACUGGACAGUAACUGACGUUGAGGCUCGAAAGCGUGGGGAGCAAACAGGAUUAGAUACCCCUGUAGUC